AACUCUCUCUACUCUUCUCUCUAUUUCUAUUGUUCUUGUCUUUUGCUUUAGUUUAUAACAGUACGAUUAUUUUUCUUACAUAUUAUUUUUUAGUUGUCAGUGCAACCUAUGGAGAACUCGUAAUGGUGUCGGGAUGAUGUGAAGAAAAUGUUGAAGGAUGUUUGCUGCUCAUCUAACUGUAAGCAGCUUAUUACACUGCUUAUUAAUAUUGUUUUAUAUAACUAAUUCUAGAAUGUAUGUGAUUUCUUUAAGGAAAAGUUCAUACUAGCAAAUAAAUUUUAAUUAUUAUGUGGAGAUAUUUCAAUCCACCAUUUUCUUAUCUUUUAUUUUACUUGUUAUUGCAGCUUAUGGAGAAAUCAUGAAAGCAUCAAGAUCGACAAGAACAUGAAUUUUUGUUCUCCUGUAAAAGCCUACUGAUGCUGCUGCUGCAACAACAACAACAACCCAGUAUAAUCCCACUUAGUGGGGUAGUGUGUACGCAGACCAUUGCUAUGGAUCUUCGAAUUUGUAGACCCCCGGCAUCCUUCCCUCCAAGAAUUUUCCACCUUGUUCUUGGAGAGACUCGAACUUACAACCUUUCAGUUGGAAGUUGGGGUUGCUUACCAUCAGAGCAACCCCUAUUGUCUUAAAAGCCUACUGAUGUAUUUGAGUAAAAAGAGAUCUUACAAUUUUAGUUUAUUUUAAAUGAUACUGAUGAAUCUUUAAUUAUGUCUUUUUACUAAUGUAUUGCAUUUUUAGACAAUUAAAGAAGAUAUUUUUCUAUGCUUUAGCA
rnacentral:lncRNA from 1 species